rnacentral:tRNA from 1 species
GUGUCCUUAGCUCAGUCAGUUGAGCGCGGCGCCAACAACGCCAAGGUCGCGGGUUCGAUUCCCGUUGGGUCCC